CCCUUAGAUGUUCUGAGCCGCACGCGCGCUACACUGAUGAAUUCAACGAGUUACAACUUUUUGGCUUCCUUGGCCGAGAGGCCCGGGUAAUCUUGUAAACGUUCAUCGUGAUGGGGAUAGAUUGUUGCAAUUUUCAAUCUUCAACGAGGAAUUCCUAGUAAACGCAAGUCAUCAGCUUGCAUUGAUUACGUCCCUGCCCUUUGUACACACCGCCCGUCGCACCUACCGAUUGAAUGGUCCGGUGAAAUCUUUGGACUGUGGCAUUGUGGAUCUUCGGAUUUACGUUGCUGUGGGAAGUUGAUUAAACCUUACCAUUUAGAGGAAGGAGAAGUCGUAACA
rnacentral:rRNA from 1 species